rnacentral:misc_RNA from 1 species
CCUAAGAGAUACGUGUUAUGUGAAGUGCUCACACAGAUUGUCUGAUGAAGAACGAGCAAAAACGCGUCUGCGAAGCUGACAAAAGUCCCCUUCGUCUAGAGGCCUAGGACACCGCCCUUUCACGGCGGUAACAGGGGUUCGAAUCCCCUAGGGGACGCCAAUGCGCAGUAUGAGUGAAAGGCGUACCACUUAUCUGACGAGAGUCAGAGAAUAACUAAGCUAAUUCAAAUGAGUUAUCUUACUUAUUAUGCUCUUUAACAAUCUGGAACAAGCUGAAAAAUUGAAAACAAAUCAAUAUAUCACCGAGGUAUAUUGAUGAGUCUCUCAAAAUCUCAAACCUUAAAGUUUGUCACGCAAAGUUUAUCUUUGAAAGAGACACUUUCGGGUUGUGA